CCCUUAGAUGUUCUGGGCCGCACGCGCGCUACACUGAUGAAUUCAACGAGCUCCUAACCUAGGCCGAAGGGUCCGGGUAAUCUUUGAAAUUUCAUCGUGAUGGGGAUAGAUUAUUGCAAUUAUUAAUCUUCAACGAGGAAUUCCUAGUAAGCGCGAGUCAUCAGCUCGCGUUGAUUACGUCCCUGCCCUUUGUUCACACCGCCCGUCGCUCCUACCGAUUGAAUGGUCCGGUGAAAUGUUCGGACCGCGACAAGGCGGACGGUUCGCUGUCAGCUUUGCUGCGGGAAGUUCAUUAAACCUUAUCAUUUAGAGGAAGGAGAAGUCGUAACA
rnacentral:rRNA from 1 species